rnacentral:lncRNA from 1 species
GGUGAAAAAUUUGAUAUUCUGAAGUCGUCCAAACAAUACAAUGCAAAAUGGCUCCAUAGCGCCCCCUAAGGUGAAAAAUUCACCUGACGCCUGUACGCUUUGUCAAAAUGACACAAAAAUUGACACACACAUGUAUCUCAAUAAGAUCUACAAAAAAGUCAGUGCGGGCGUAUCUGUCAAAUGUACGGUUAAAGGGUUAUUGCGCAUUUUUUGCCGAUCCGCACACAUUGGAAUUUCGCUAACUCCUCCGAAGGCUUUCGUUCCACCGGCACCACAUUUGCUCAGGCCAAUCUACACCCCAUGGCCAUUAAAAGUUAUUCAAAUCAUGACGCUGCACCCCACGGUUUAGGUUCUAGGGGGCGCCAAAGAUAACCCUAAAAUCCACAUAUUUCAAAGUCUUAUAACUUUUUAUUUUUGCCCUCACUGGCCUCCAAGUUUUCUAGGAUGAUGCAAUGUCCAGCCAUCAACACAUUUGUGAAGGAAUUUUUACUCCCCAAAAGAGCGCCCCCCCAUGGCAGGAGAAAAAAGUCCAUUUUUUCUUGUCCCAUAAGGUGAAAAUUCACACUAUUGACUGUCACGCCUG